CAAACUGGGAUUAGAUACCCCACUAUGCUUAGCCCUAAACACAAAUAAUUACAGAAACAAAAUUAUUCGCCAGAGUACUACCGGCAACAGCCCGAAACUCAAAGGACUUGGCGGUGCUUUAUACCCUUCUAGAGGAGCCUGUUCUAUAAUCGAUAAACCCCGAUAAACCUCACCAAUCCUUGCUAAUACAGUCUAUAUACCGCCAUCUUCAGCAAACCCUAAAAAGGAACAAAAGUAAGCUCAAUCACAACACAUAAAGACGUUAGGUCAAGGUGUAACCCAUGGAAUGGGAAGAAAUGGGCUACAUUUUCUACCUUAAGAAAAUUAAUACGAAAGCCAUUAUGAAAUUAAUGACCAAAGGAGGAUUUAGUAGUAAACUAAGAAUAGAGUGCUUAGUUGAAUUAGGCCAUGAAGCACGCACACACCGCCCGUCACCCUC
rnacentral:rRNA from 1 species